AGAUACAAAGGUUCUCCACGUCCCCAUCAGAUUAGUUAGAUACACAGAGUUUCCACACACAGGUUCUCCAAGGCCCCACCAGAGCAGCUAGAUACAGAGUAUCGAUUGGUGCACUCACAAACCUUGAGCUAAACACAGGGUGCUGAUUGGUGUAUUUACAAUCCCUGAGCUAGACAUAAAGACUCUCCACAUCCCCACCAGACUCAGGAUCCCAGCUGGCUUCACCUAGUGGAUCCCCGCACCGGGGCGCAGGUGGAGCUGCCUGCCAGUCCUGCGCCGUGCGCUCGCAUUCCUCAGCCCUUGGGUGGUCCAUGGGACUGGGCGCUGUGGAGCAGGGGGUGGCGCUCCUUGGGGAGGCUCGGGCCGCACAGGAGCCCAUGGAGUGGGUGGGAGGCUCAGGCAUGGCGGGCUGCAGGUCCCGAGCCCUGCCCCGCAGGAAGGCAGCUAAGGCUCGGCAAGAAAUCGAGCACAGCCCCGGUGGGCCGGCACUGCUGGGGGACCCAGUACACCCUCCGCAGCCACUGGCCCAGGUGCUAAGUCCCUCAUUGCCCGGGGCCAGCAGGGCUGGCCGGCUGCUCUGAGUGCGGGGCCCGCCAAGCCCACGCCCACCCGGAACUCCAGCUGGCCCGCAAGCGCUGCACGCAGCCCCGGUUCCCGCUCGUGCCUCUCCCUCCACACCUCCCUGCAAGCUGAGGGAGUGGGCUCCAGCCUUGGCCAGCCCAGAAAGGGGCUCCCACAGUGCAGUGGGGAGCUGAAGGGCUCCUCAAAUGCCGCCAAAGUCGGAGCCCAGGCAGGGGAGGUGCCCAGAGCAAGCGAGGGCUCUGAGGACUGCCAGCACGCUGUCACCUCUCAGUAGGACUGCGCGCGUGGGAGUGCAUGUUUGCACACGUGUGUGUGUGUGGCGCUCCCCAUCCGUGGCUGCUUUCCCAUCACACACCUUAUGUGGAUCCUGGGCCUUCAGCUGCCCUUUGUUUGGUUCCAGUGUCCUUCACAGCCAGCUUAGCUUGACGUUGCCUCUUUUGCACACUUUGGAGAGGGGGAUGAAUGGGGGAAAUGGUGUCUUGGGCUCUGGCUUUCUUUGCCCAGCCUGUCGCGAGUCUGUGGGUACCCAGGGAGAGCUCCCAGCAGGCGCCCUGCUAGGGCUGUCCUGAAGCCCCAGACCCCAGGUAGGGGCAGUAGAACCGCCUGGCUGUGUAUGGGCAUCCUCAUUCCAUAGCAACACACACUCCCUCUCUUAUUCAUUUAUUUGAAACCAUUCCUCAAAGUGCAAAUAUUUUUUACAUAAAGCCUGGCAUUGGGAGGGACCUUAAAACACCUGCCACCCUUCCUCUCUGCCAAUGCCUAACAAGCGUCUGCCUCAGCUCACACCUCAGGGAGCUUACACUUACCUUGAAGGGGGGGUUCGGCAGUGCCUGGAAGUCUCCAGAAUCUGCCGGCAGAAUUUCCCUUGUCCUGAGUACAUUGCACGCUUGAUAAAUGGGGAUCUCUACGUACUUCUAAUUGUGUCCAGUGUAACAUGAAAGGGAGUGAGAUUUUUUCCAGUCUAUCACAUGGAGAUACCUAGGGGCCCUCUUCUGUAAGUUCAAACAGAUGGAAAAAAAGAAGAAUGGCUGAUAUAAAAGGAUUCACUCUUACGGUAUGCUUAAGAACAGUAAGACCAGAGCAGUGCUAAAUGAGUCUCUUUUCAUUGUGAAGAAAGAAACAACAUUCUUUAAAAUGACUAGUGUUUCCCAGUUCCUCUAGCGGUGCACGGAUUUCAGCGCUCAUCCUGCAGUAUGAAUGUCUCCAGGUAACAAAGAGGGGUGGUUGAGUCCAGGCUAUAGAGGCCAGAGUGGGAGCUGAGAUGCAAAACACACGAGUGGACCGAGUUUAAGACUGGCCAUCUAACAUGGUGGCAGUAACUCGCAGCUGCCUGUCCGUCUCAGGGAGGGAUGGAGAGGGAGGGGCAAACUGGAGCACACGUGUCUGCCUUAAAAGGGACUCCUGGCACUGAGUGGCCAGCGCAUGGGUUGGUGCCAUACAGUAUUGGGGACCAGACCUGCCUAAUUUUUAAAGGUAAAAUGGAAAUCUAAAUAUGUAUAUGGAGUCCCUUCAGUUUAAAGGUGUCCCAGCAAAGUAACCCUGAGAACAAAUAUUGGAAGAGUCAAAACAAACCGCCAGCCUCAAACUACUUCACUUUGCAGCCCUUCAAGAACUUAGCACUCUUAACUUUGAGGUCAAAGUUUAGGAAAGCAGUUUUGUCAUCAUUUGUUUACAUCCAGGGUCAGAAAACUCUCUACUGCCUAAGAUCAAAUCUGGCCAGCUGACUCAUUUUGUAAAUAAAGUUUUAUUUGUUUGCAGAUCGUCUGUGAAUGCUUUCACAAUGGCAGAGUUAAGUCACUGCAACAGAGACUGUGUGCCCUGCAAAGCCUAAACUAUUUACCAUCUGGCCCUUCACAGAAAAAUGUUGCUGUAAAUUAUUUAGACCAUUCACAGUUAGCACUUGUUUCCUUUCAGACAGAGGUUCUGAUUACUUAGGUCAUUUUGAAUAUCAAGUAGACGUUUCAAUAGAGAAUAAAAAUUAAAUUAAAAAUAAAAACAAAGUGCUUAGCAAAGGAUCUGAGAGAGAGUUUCUUCUAACGGCUGCAUGCUCUCCCAUGCCCAGUGCCCUUUCACAAUGAAAGGAGCCAGGGCCCUUUCUCAUGUGGAAACAAAUGGCAUUUUAGAUUAAAAGGACCAAACUUUGUCAUAACCCUUUUCUAAAUUGCAUAAACUUUAAACUAAAGCAGUGCAAGUGGGCACAUUACCUUGUAUGUAAAACCACCAUCCAUACAACCGAAACAGAGAAGAAUUGGAUGUGUUUGUGCCCUACAAAGAUUCUGUUUAGUCUGUAAUUUUGUUCCUUCCUCAUCUCACACACAGCUGAAACUAGUCAGGUUUCAAAGAAGGUAGCAUUGUAUUGUGCAUCAACACUUGUCUUUAGUGGAAAAAAUUACAAUGAUUGUGUGCAAAAUUUUUGUAGUUCAUAUUCUUUUCUGAAAGAUUAGAGUCGUUCUUUAUUACUUUAUACAAAUUAUGAGAACACAGUGUCAUUAAAACACAGACACAAUGAUGUCAAAUAACUUUCCAGCUUGGAGGCCUAUGGGUGGCUCUAGUCCCUCUUUGCAGGUUACAGUUGAGAAAACCAAGCCCCAGGAAGGUCCAGCAGGUCUGCGGACCCACCGUAGGGGCACAGCGCUCAGGCCUCAUAUACUUACUCUUCCCCAGCCCUGCUCUUGGCCCCUCCGCAAUAAGAUGAUUUAUAGGCCAAAAGUAGUGAGGCACCGCACUGUCUCCCAGUGCUCACAGCACCCCGACAAUGUGAGAAGGUCACAUAGUAAAACACAAGAAAAAGAUAUUUUGAAGAAGAAAUAUUAAAUGAAUUAUAUAAAAUGUAGAACUCACUAUGAAUUUGGACUCAGUAUAACUUUAGAAAUCAGAGGGCUCUGGAAGAACUGUGCCUCCGGAGUGGUUGGCAACACUUGUCCCAGCCCCCUGUGUUUCCACAAGAUCCUUUGGCCAAGUUCUAACUGAACCUGAGCAUCUCAGCUCCUCGGUGCUAAUAGGAUUAGCGUCCUUCCCUCCACAGGCCAAACACGUCCUUCAAAUGCCUAGGCAGUAACCAGAUCACGUCAGCCCACGGUUUACACGAAGAUCCUGUUCAUGACUGCACUCUUGUUUCUGUCGUCCUCCCUUACUUUGAGACUUGACUGUUUUUAGUAAAAAGAAGAAAAGAAAAUUGCAAACCAAUGACAAUCACAAUAUGGCAUUUAUAAGCUCCUUUCCUUUUAUUACUAAACACAGAAAUACUUAGGUUAAAUAGUAAUAAUGUAUCUAAUUAUACAAUAAUUAUCUUUUUUCUAAUAAUAAUAAGUUAAAUAUUUGUUAUUAUUUUAUUAUUAUUGCUAUUGGUAUUCCAUAGCAUCUCUUGCGGUGAGACCCCUCACUCUUCCCCAGUGCUGAAGAUGCACAUAGAAGAUCAGUCACUCAGACACCUCAGGAAAUAAGUCUCAGCACUUUUCCCUGAAGACUUCUGGUCCAUACUAACACUGGCUUCUGCCAAACAUACUUUCUUCCAAUGGGUACAAAGGCGGCAUAAUUGUCGGAGCUUGGUGUAUCAGUUAGCUAUUGCUGCGUAAGAAAAUACCCCGAAACCUGAAACAAAAGCCAGUUCUUUUUGCCUGUGCAUCUGCGUCCUGGCUGGUUAUCUGGUGGUCAUGAUGGGCCCUGUCGAUCUUGGCUGGGUUCACGCAGGUGUGCUGUCCACGGGGUUGGGUUGUUGGCUGAGUAGAAUUGGGCUUGCUCACAUUAAUGGAACAAGUGGUCAGAUCCAGCUGUAUUUCUUACAGUUUCUCACCCUCCUGCAGGCCAGCCUGGGCUUGUUUUCCCGGUAGUACUGGGUUCUGAGAGAGAGUAACUGCAUGGAAGGCCUUGAAGACUGGGCUUGGGCCUGCUGUACCCACAUGACUGCUUCUGCCACGUUCUACUGGCCAAGCUCUAUGGGCAGCUCAGACACAAGGGAAGAGACUCUGCUGCUUCCUGGGAGAAGCUGCAAGACCACAUUGCGAAGGAACAUGUUGUUGCUGCUCCCAUGUUACCUUCGUCAGUGACCUGAGAUGCAGACUGGAUCUAGGGAAUGGUGUUUCCUGUGUGAUGCCUUCCAGGAGUAUCUGCACCACGGGCAGUGCCAGGCCGAGGACAGAGGGCCUAAUGGAGGACACUCUACAACUCCAUCCUGCUGCUGGGGGGGCUUGGGGGCGCCUCCACGAGGGUCUUCAGAGGAAAGGCAUGUGUGUGGUCUGUGGCCUGCCAGCAGGAGAGCUGGGGGAGGCCGGCAUCUUGAGGCUGUUGGCAGCAAGUGCAGGCAGAGGCCUCGGGCCAGAGGGGAGGUGGCAGGGCUCAGGUGCCCUGUGCUUCCUCGGAGAAGGCACUUGGGAUGAAGGCUUAGUCCUGCCUGGUAAACCUGGAGGCCUGUGAACACUGGGGUUAGCCCCAACAAGGGAGGAGGUUCCCGCUGCCUCACUAAGAACAGCCUGCUGCUACACUCACCCUGACAGCUGCUCCGCUCCCAGUGAACCCCACCCCGAGAAGGCUCAUCGGGGCCACGGACCUCCCUCAGCGCUGCAUUCAGAAUCCCUCAGGAGUUGUAAACUUCCUGAUUUCUGGACCCAUCACCAGAGCCCAACGUCACGGGUAAGGGUUAGGGCCUGGAUGUCAGGAUUCAAUUUGGAGAAUUCCCCGGGGCAAUUCCACCAUUGCAGACACUGAAACGGAGCUGGGGCAGAAGAAUCACACCAGGUGGCUCGAGCUGAGCGGCUGGGAGUGUGGCAGUGAAGACACUGAGUGUCCGUCAGGGAAGAUGGCUCUGGGUACAACAGCGUGCCCAGCCCCUUAGAUAUUCUCUGCACGGAAGUGGCCCCACCCUGAAGCGCGUGUGCAGUGACUGUUCAUGCUUCUGUGUGUGUGCAGGAGUAGUUUGGUUGGAGUGUGCAUAUGCGAAUGUGUGUGUAUGGAAGUCUAUCUAUCUGUAAUGUAAAGCAGUUGCGUAAUGCAAAUGUGUGUGUAUGGACAUCUAUCUGUAAUGCAAAGCAGUUGCGUAAUGCAAAUGUGUGUGUAUGGAUGUCUAUCUAUCUGUAAUGUAAAGUUCCCAAGUAUUGUGUAUAUCAUUGUUUGAGUUUUUAAAUUCUAAGAUAAUUUCUAGAGAAAAAGAUGUACGGGUGAUUCCUGGUGAAAAGCAGGGACCGUGGGCCUCAUAUUGAGACACAUUUCACGCUGUUUAGAUUGUAAUGGCAAUUAUGUAUGACUUUUGUACGUUUUUUAAAAAGCCAAUAAAAUA
ensembl:lncRNA ADAMTS16-DT ADAMTS16 divergent transcript